rnacentral:lncRNA from 1 species
GGAGUUCCAGCGAGGCAUGGGCUGGGGGUGAAGGGAAAUUGCUUGCUGGCCCAGGGUUCUGAAGCACACAGUGGCAGGAAACACACUGCAAAACCUGCUCUUGUACUCGUGACCACGGCCUAAUGCUACCUCAGAGCUUCCGCUGACUGACCACUGUGGGCUCUCCCUGGGCUCCAGCCUUCGGCUGCAGGGUGGUGUUAUCUGUUUCACAGACCUGCUGGUGACACAGAGGGUUUUGAAAGAUGUGUUAAGGUCAGGCGGAAAGUGAAUGAGGGUCACCAGAAAAAUAUCAAGUAAUAAGACAAGGCUUAGAAGGACAACAUCAUCAACCAAGCAAACCAACGAGAGCAAACAAGUCCAUAAAAAGAGGGAGGAAAUGAGGGGACCCUGGAAAAGAGCUCUUCACCCCAGAAUCAGGUGAAUCAAGAAUGUCAGUACAUUAGCAACAACACGUGCUGCCAAGGCCAUCUAUCUGUAUAGCAACACUCCUUGUAUAGAGGGAUACUUCAGAGAAGAAUGCCAGGACAGCAGUGCCUAAGGCCUUAGCACAUGUGACCAAGGACAGUUUGGUGAACUAACAACCUGACCAUGUCUGAGACUCUCAUGGAAACCCCACAGUAAAAGGCAUAUCUUCACCCUGCUGAACUAUCCUGUGACUCAUGGUUUUCCUUAUCAGACUGUAAUCCUAUCCAAGGCACCCAGGAGCCACCCUAUGAUCACAUCCAAAAUACAGAAGUGGGGCAGAGUCAUUGGAAACCUGUUGGGCAGCACCCGUCUUUCUGUUAAUCUUCAUGUUUACAUCUUUGUUCAAAUGUCUUCAGUGGGACAUAAACCCAUGCCAGGAAGUUUGGUAAGGCUGAUUGUCUCAAGUGUUUGGUCACAGCCACAGGGAGCUAACAUACUGAAUUCUCAAUUUCAGUCAUGUCUUCAAUGUGAGAAUUGCUGCAGGAGUUUGAGCAGGCUCCUGUGGGAGAGAGGAAGAAAAUGUACUUUUCAGAAGGACGACCAUUCACCGGUGACCUUGUGAAGCAGGCCAUGACUCAUGAUCGGGAAACAAGGCGAGGAUGCUAAGCUCUAACCAAGGAGAUAAACUCAAGAAAGAAAACAGAAGGUGGGCAAAGCAAGGAAGGGUGCUGGGUAAAGCUGAGCAGCAAUGUGCAACACUGCCCAUGAUUACUACCCUUGGCCCAGCCCCAGCGCCCUGGGCCAGUGAGACCCAUGGACAAGCAAAGGGUAAGAAUCAUUUGAGGCAAGCACCUAAGGAAUUCAUCUUUGAAACAGGAUUUCCAAAAGCCAAGUUAUGAAAUCUCUAAGAGAUCUAUUAAAAAUCAGUUAGAUUCCAA